rnacentral:rRNA from 1 species
AGCAGCCGCGGUAAUUCCAGCUCCAAUAGCGUAUAUUAAAGUUGCUGCAGUUAAAAAGCUCGUAGUUGAAUUUCGGGACCAAUAUGUCGGUCGUGCCUCGGUACGUACUGGCAUCGUUGGUUUCUCCCUUCUGACGAACCAUGAUGUCAUUUAUUUGGUGUCGUGGGGAAUCAGGACUGUUACUUUGAAAAAAUUGAAAAGUGUUUAAAGCAGGCUCACGCUUGAAUACAUUAGCAUGGAAUAAUGAAAUAGGACGUUUGAUUCUAUUUUGUUGGUUUCUAGGAUCGACGUAAUGAUUAAUAGGGGUAGUUGGGGGCAUUAGUAUUCAAUUGUCAGAGGUGAAAUUCUUGGAUUUAUUGAAGACUAACUACUGCGAAAGCAUUUGCCAAGGAUGUUUUCAUUAAUCAAGAACGAAAGUUAGGGGAUCGAAGACGAUCAGAUACCGUCGUAGUCUUAACCNUAAACUAUGCCGACUAGGGAUCGGAUGAUGUUAAUUUUUAAUGUACUCAUUCGGCGCCUU